rnacentral:rRNA from 1 species
GGUUGAUCCUGCCAGUAGUCAUAUGCUUGUCUCAAAGAUUAAGCCAUGCAUGUCUAAGUAUAAACUGCUUUAUACUGUGAAACUGCGAAUGGCUCAUUAAAUCAGUUAUAGUUUAUUUGAUGGUACCCUUACUCGGAUAACCGUAGUAAUUCUAGAGCUAAUACGUGCGUAAACCCCGACUUCUGGAAGGGGCGUAUUUAUUAGAUAAAAGGCCGACCGGGCUUGCCCGACUCGCGGUGAAUCAUGAUAACUUCACGAAUCGCAUGGCCUUGUGCCGGCGAUGUUUCAUUCAA